UACGGGGGGGGCAAGCGUUGUUCGGAAUUACUGGGCGUAAAGGGUUCGUAGGUGGCCAAUUAAGUCAGACGUGAAAUCCCUCAGCUCAACUGGGGAACUGCGUCUGAGACUGGAUGGCUUGAGUGCAGGAGAGGAACGCGGAAUUCCAGGUGUAGCGGUGAAAUGCGUAGAUAUCGGAAGGAACACCAGUGGCGAAAGCGGCUUCCUGGUCCAGCACCGACGUUCAGGCACGAAAGCGUGGGGAGCAAACAGG
rnacentral:rRNA from 1 species